AUACGGAGGGGGCUAGCGUUGUUCGGAAUUACUGGGCGUAAAGCGCGCGUAGGCGGAUCGUUAAGUCAGGGGUGAAAGCCCGGAGCUCAACUCCGGAACUGCCCUUGAUACUGGCGAUCUCGAGUCCGGGAGAGGUGAGCGGAAUUCCUAGUGUAGAGGUGAAAUUCGUAGAUAUUAGGAUGAACACCAGUGGCGAAGGCGGCUCACUGGCCCGGUACUGACGCUGAGGUGCGAAAGCGUGGGGAGCAAACAGGAUUAGAAACCCUAGUAGUCC
rnacentral:rRNA from 1 species